GUCCACGCCCUCGUGGACUGCCUGGGGGAGUUCGUGCGCAAGACCCUGGCAACCUGGCUGCGGAGACGCGGCGGAUGGACUGAUGUCCUCAAGUGUGUGGUCAGCACAGACCCUGGCCUCCGCUCCCACUGGCUGGUGGCUGCACUCUGCAGCUUCGGCCGCUUCCUGAAGGCUGCCUUCUUCGUGCUGCUGCCAGAGAGAUGAGCUGCCCACCUGGCAGUGGCCGCAGCCUGGCCCUCUGGGCCCAACGCAGGAGGCCCUCAGCACCCGAACACAUCUUCCUCCUCCCCA
rnacentral:circRNA from 1 species